rnacentral:lncRNA from 1 species
GAUGAUGGUGGUGCUGACGAAGAAGACGAUUACAAACAUUCUCACAGGUCCAAAUCUGAAGUCGAUGGCCAAGAUGACAGUGAUGAGAGUGUAGGGGUAAUCUUUUGUCAGCCUCUGAUAUCUCACACUAUCAGAUAUGUUAAAUAUUAAGCAACUCUUGCACUUGCACCGCAUUUCCAUCCCCGUAGUGAUAUCAUGAGAAUGCACACUUGAAACUUCAUAAUUCAGACAUCUACUCAUUGUUUUACACGGUUCAAUCCGUUGUCUAAGUUAAUUGUCACUGUAGAUGCCCCACGUUUAAAGAGGCCAGGUUCUUUGCUCUAAGAUCCAUUUAAUAUACAAUGCUUUUUCCCAGUCCAAGAGAAUUAAUAACUGGUUCUUUUUACAUGCAAAUGUUCUUGUGCACUAAUUCCUGUCAACAACUGGUCAAGAUUAAAAGAAGACCUCAUUGUUCCAUGUGCUAGUAUGCUUUAGGUUAUAGGGAUUAGAUUAUUCGUUUUAGGUUUCACCUGCUUGGGUCCUCUGCUCCUGGACCUUAUAAUUUCCUGAACUUGUCAGAUUCUUACAUCGUUAGUUUUACUGAAGAGAAUCAUAGCUGGAUUACCUGAGUUCCAGAUAGAGCGAUUGAUGAAUUUGGGAUUGUUCUAUCUUCAAUUACUUUAUUUUUGUAUGCGGUUAUGUGGGAGUUAUUCUGCAAUGGAUGGUUUAUUCUUUACUUCUGUUGAUAUAGAUCGACUCAUGUCCUCCCUGCUGACUAUCAGUCUUCAAUUACUCAUCAAAUAAGUGCAUUUUCUUUCAUUCAUACUUCUCUUGUUUUCUUUAAAUUAGUCCUAAGAUAAGUUGAACUAUCAAUUUUCAGGAGGAUGAAGAUGACGAGGACGAUGACUGAAGUUGGCAUGUAGGCUGAUUUAGCCUAUGAUUGAUCCAGGCCAAAAAUCCUAGACUUAGUGAGUGAAGCUUUCAGGUUAUGUCUUGUCUAUGGUGGUGAUUUUCUGAAAUUUUCCGAAGUUUCUCUGCUCUUAUUGGUGCUGCUAAGUAGUCAUGUAAGAUUUACUCGUGUACCUGCCACGCAUUUAUCUGACUAUCUCAGUUGAAUCAUGAAUAGAUCCUGAGCGCAACAUACAUUUUGCUUUGGUAUGCUACCUGCAAAUUGAGUAUUGCCUGGUGUAGAAUAGCGAUGAAUAGAAUUUCUGUUUGUAAUAUGUGGGCUACCGGUAUAACUACAUCUCUACAUAUGCUAGGGUUUUCU